AGGUUGAAUCAUAUUGUGUCGUAAGGUUGGCAUAAGUCCCACAACGAGUGCAACCCUCUUAUUUAGUUGCCAUCGUUGAGUUGGAACCCUAAACAGACUGUCGAAAUCAUUUGAUAUAUGAGAUGAAUUGAAUCUAUU
rnacentral:rRNA from 1 species